rnacentral:rRNA from 1 species
UCAAGUGACUAAGUGUAUGUGGUGGAUGCCUUGGCGAUCACAGGCGAAGAAGGACGUAGUAGCUUGCGAUAAGCUGCGGGGAGCCGGCAAACGGGCAUUGAUCCGCAGAUUUCCGAAUGGGGGAACCCACCGACGCAAGUCGGUAUCACACACUGAAUACAUAGGUGUGUGAGGCGAACGGAGCGAACUGAAACAUCUAAGUAGCUCCAGGAAAAGAAAUCAACCGAGAUUGCGAAAGUAGCGGCGAGCGAAAUCGCAGCAGCCCAGUGUUCUGAUAGCACGAACGACAGCAGAAAGGUCUGGAAAGGCCUGCUAUAGAGGGUGAUAGCCCCGUAUGCGAAAUCGGACGUGUGGUACUAAGGGACCGAUAAGUAGGGCGGGACACGUGACAUCCUGUCUGAAGAUGGGGGGACCAUCCUCCAAGGCUAAAUACUCGUGAUCGACCGAUAGUGAACCAGUACUGUGAAGGAAAGGCGAAAAGAACCCCGGGAGGGGAGUGAAAUAGAACCUGAAACCGCAUACAUACAAACAGUAGGAGCCCCUGCAGUGGGGUGACUGCGUACCUUUUGCAUAAUGGGUCAGCGACUUACGUUUUGUGGCGAGCUUAACCGAGUAGGGGAGGCGUAGCGAAAGCGAGUUCGAAUAGAGCGAGAAGUCUCAAGGCGUAGACCCGAAACCAGAUGAGCUAUCCAUGGCCAGGUUGAAGGUGUGGUAACACACACUGGAGGACCGAACCGACUAGUGUUGCAAAAUUAGCGGAUGAGCUGUGGAUAGGGGUGAAAGGCUUAACAAAUCUGGAGAUAGCUGGUUCUCCCCGAAAACUAUUGAGGUAGUGCCUCGUGUAUUGCUCCAGGGGGUAGAGCACUGUUAUGGCUAGGGGGACAUGGCGUCUUACCAAACCAUGGCAAACUCCGAAUACUUGGAAGUAAGAGCACGGGAGACAGAGCACCGGGUGCUAACGUCCGGACUCAAGAGGGAAACAACCCAGACCGCCGUUUAAGGUCCCAAAUAUUGACUAAGUGGAAAACGAAGUGUGAAGGCUAAGACAGUCAGGAAGUUGGCUUAGAAGCAGCCAUCCUUCAAAGAAAGCGUAAUAGCUCACUGAUCGAGUCCUCAUGCGCGGAAGAUGUAACGGGGCUAAGUCAAUAACCGAAAGCGCGGAUUUGUACGAAAGUACAAGUGGUAGGGGAGCGUUCUGUAAGCCUGCGAAGGUGGUUCGAGAGGACUGCUGGAGGUAUCAGAAGUGCGAAUGCUGACAUGAGUAACGUUAAAGCGGGUGAAAAGCCCGCUCGCCGUAAGCCCAAGGUUUCCUGCUCUACGUUCAUCGGAGCAGGGUGAGUCGGCCCCUAAGGCCAGGCUGAGAAGCGUAGUCGAUGGGAAGCAGAUUAAUAUUUCUGCACCAUGUGCAAGUGCGAUGGGGGGACGGAGUGCGAAAGAUCAUCCGGGUGUUGGAUGUCCCGGUUUGUGAGUGUAGAAGGCCGACAGGCAAAUCCGUCGGCGGAUCUUCGAGACAAAGCAUCGAGGUUCUACGGAACCGAAGUGAUCGGAAGUGCUUCCAGGAAAAGCCUCUAAGCUCCAGCUUGCAUGUGACCGUACCGUAAACCGACACUGGUGGGCGAGUUGAAUAUACUCAGGCGCUUGAGAGAACUCGGGAGAAGGAACUCGGCAAAUUGACACCGUAACUUCGGGAUAAGGUGUGCCUUUGUAGCGUGAAGAGAGAAACGCUCGGAGCGUGAAGAGGCCUCAGAGAAUCGGUGGCUGCAACUGUUUAUUAAAAACACAGCACUCUGCAAAGACGAAAGUCGACGUAUAGGGUGUGAUGCCUGCCCGGUGCUGGAAGAUUAAGUGAUGGGGUGAGAGCUCCUGAUCGAAGUCCCAGUAAACGGCGGCCGUAACUAUAACGGUCCUAAGGUAGCGAAAUUCCUUGUCGGGUAAGUUCCGACCUGCACGA